rnacentral:rRNA from 1 species
AGUGAACGCUGGCGGUAGGCCUAACACAUGCAAGUCGAACGGCAGCACAGUAAGAGCUUGCUCUUACGGGUGGCGAGUGGCGGACGGGUGAGGAAUACAUCGGAAUCUACUUUUUCGUGGGGGAUAACGUAGGGAAACUUACGCUAAUACCGCAUACGACCUACGGGUGAAAGCAGGGGAUCUUCGGACCUUGCGCGAAUGAAUGAGCCGAUGUCGGAUUAGCUAGUUGGCGGGGUAAAGGCCCACCAAGGCGACGAUCCGUAGCUGGUCUGAGAGGAUGAUCAGCCACACUGGAACUGAGACACGGUCCAGACUCCUACGGUAGGCAGCAGUGGGGAAUAUUGGACAAUGGUCGCAAGCCUGAUCCAGCCAUACCGCGUGGGUGAAGAAGGCCUUCGGGUUGUAAAGACCUUUUGUUGGGAAAGAAAAGCAGCAGGUUAAUACCACGCUGUUCUGACGGUACCCAAAGAAUAAGCACCGGCUAACUUCGUG